GCAACAUAGCGCUAUUCGUCUCUACCAACACUAAUUUUAAAAAAUUAGCUGGACAGGGCAGCACAUACCUUCAGUCCCAGCUACUCAGGAGGCUGAGGCAGGAGGAUCAUUUGAGCCCAGGAGUUCAAGGUUAUGGUGAACUAUGAUUGCACCACUGCACUUCAUUCUGAGCAAUAGAGCAAGACACUGUCUCUAAUAUGUGUGUGUGUGUAUACAUGCACACAAACAUAUAUUAAUAUAUGUGUAACUGUUAUAUAUAAUUACCAUUUAUAAAUAUAAACUUAAGGACAGAGCAGUGAGGUAGAAGGCACGAGAUUGUAGAGUUAGCAAGUGGCAGGAUCAAAAUUAUUAACACACCCUUAACUAAAACGUCAUUCAGGAAAGUUAGUGUCCUUGGUUCAACUCUACCCUGCUUUGGAACUGGGUGUGUACUCUUGAUAAUUGCUCAGUGUCAAUGAACUUCCAUUUCUUUGUCUGUCACAUGAUUUGCAUAACAAUAACUUCCUUACCCUUCUCACACUGUUGCUUUAAUGAUGAAAUCUAUCACAAUUACAGUCUCAUAAAAAAAUUAGAACAGAAGUAUACACGUGGACAGCACAGUGAGGUAAGAAGCACUGCAGACCUGAGGCGGGAAGAUGGUCUGCUGCACUCUCAAGCCAGGCUAUGUCAGCUGGACUAUGUGGUGCCUUUUGUACCUGUCUACAUCCUGCUGUCCUGUUCACCAUCUGCAGAGGGCUCAGCUUGCAGUCCCAGAGGAAAUGUACAUUUCCAGAAGAGUGAAAGAAAGAUCUAGAGCCUAAGCUAAUGACAUCUAGUACUCUGAACUUGUCUUUGUGUCCACCUUGUUUUGGUUCCAGAGAAAUGAGACAGUUGCUAGUGAGGUUGGUGCUACCUUGCAUAGCUUCUAAACCUCAAACCUACCUUGGAGAUUUUGUCCCUGGCUUUUUCUUUGUUCUCAGGUCUUAUCAUUCCCUUUUUUCUGGACGUGAAAUCUAGAUCUUUGAUUUUGAAAAGAAAUUUGGACGCUUGACUAUGUAUUCCCAAAUUCUUUUUUUUAUUAUUAUUAUAUUUUAAGUUUUAGGGUACAUGUGCACAACGUGCAGGUUUGUUACAUAUGUAUACAUGUGCCAUGUUGGUGUGCUGCACCCAUUAACUCAUCGUUUAGCAUUAGGUAUAUCUCCUAAUGCUAUCCC
rnacentral:lncRNA from 1 species